rnacentral:pre_miRNA from 1 species
GUAGUACUCCCUCCGUCCGAGAAUACUUGUCAUUAAAAUGAAUAAAAGGAGAUGUAUCUAGAACUAAAAUACAUCUAGAUACAUCCCCUUUUAUCCAUUUUGAUGACAAAUAUUUCCGGACGGAGGGAGUACCAC